rnacentral:tRNA from 1 species
CGGGAAGUAGCGCAAUUUGGUAGCGCAUCAAUUUCGGGUGUUGAGGGUUGCCAGUUCAAAUCUGGUCUUCCCGACCA